rnacentral:tRNA from 1 species
UGGGGCGUAGCCAAGCGGUAAGGCAGCGGUUUUUGAUAUCGUUAUGCGCAGGUUCGAAUCCUGCCGCCCCAGCCA